GCUUACGGCCAUACCACCCUGAGAACGCCCGAUCUUGUCUGAUCUUGGAAGCUAAGCAGGGUCGGGCCUGGUUAGUACUUGGAUGGGAGACCGCCUGGGAAUACCAGGUGCUGUAAGCU
rnacentral:rRNA from 1 species